AUGCACGCUGGCGGCGUGCUUCACACCUGCAGGUCGAACGCUGAAGCCCAGCUUGCUGGGUGGAUUAGUGGCGAACGGGUGAGUAACACGUGAGUAACCUGCCCUUAACUCUGGGAUAAGCCUGGGAAACUGGGUCUAAUACCGGAUAGGAGCGUCCACCGCAUGGUGGGUGUUGGAAAGAUUUAUCGGUUUUGGAUGGACUCGCGGCCUAUCAGCUUGUUGGUGAGGUAAUGGCUCACCAAGGCGACGACGGGUAGCCGGCCUGAGAGGGUGACCGGCCACACUGGGACUGAGACACGGCCCAGACUCCUACGGGAGGCAGCAGUGGGGAAUAUUGCACAAUGGGCGCAAGCCUGAUGCAGCGACGCCGCGUGAGGGAUGACGGCCUUCGGGUUGUAAACCUCUUUCAGUAGGGAAGAAGCGAAAGUGACGGUACCUGCAGAAGAAGCACCGGCUAACUACGUG
rnacentral:rRNA from 1 species